AGAGUUUGAUCAUGGCUCAGAGCGAACGCUGGCGGCAGGCCUAAUACAUGCAAGUCGAGCGCACCUUCGGGUGAGCGGCGGACGGGUGAGUAACGCGUGGGAAUAUGCCCUUUGGUACGGAACAACUGAGGGAAACUUCAGCUAAUACCGUAUGUGCCCUUCGGGGGAAAGAUUUAUCGCCAUUGGAGUAGCCCGCGUUGGAUUAGCUAGUUGGUAGGGUAAAGGCCUACCAAGGCUACGAUCCAUAGCUGGUCUGAGAGGAUGAUCAGCCACAUUGGGACUGAGACACGGCCCAAACUCCUACGGGAGGCAGCAGUAGGGAAUCUUGCGCAAUGGGCGAAAGCCUGACGCAGCCAUGCCGCGUGAAUGAUGAAGGUCUUAGGAUUGUAAAAUUCUUUCACCGGGGAAGAUAAUGACGGUACCCGGAGAAGAAGCCCCGGCUAACUUCGUGCCAGCAGCCGCGGUAAUACGAAGGGGGCUAGCGUUGCUCGGAAUUACUGGGCGUAAAGGGCGCGUAGGCGGAUAUUUAAGUUAGAGGUGAAAGCCCAGGGCUCAACCCUGGAAUAGCCUUUAAUACUGGAUAUCUUGAGUUCGGGAGAGGUGAGUGGAACUCCGAGUGUAGAGGUGAAAUUCGUAGAUAUUCGGAAGAACACCAGUGGCGAAGGCGACUCACUGGCCCGAUACUGACGCUGAGGCGCGAAAGCGUGGGGAGCAAACAGGAUUAGAUACCCUAGUAGUCC
rnacentral:rRNA from 1 species